ACAAAAAAAAAAACUUAGGGUCUUAUAUAUUUUUCGGUGUCGGGCUUUGCAUGCCUUCCGCGUUACCCAACUGAGAAGAAAAAGGAAUAAUCUUUUUCCAGCUGGGGUGUGGGCACGAGGGAAGCAUGUGAGGCAGCGUGAGGGCCUUAAUCUCAACGUGUCAGGGCUCUCCGACCAGGGGAAGGUGCUGGGGCUGUUCUCCCCGCGCUCAGCACCGCUGGGCCGCGAGGAUCUGGACGGCUCUUUCUGCUGAGUCACGGGGGUGUGCAUGUCUGAUCCACGUCCCUGCAGUCCCUCAAGGGCUGUGUCUUGUUCCUGGAGCCUGCCCGUGCAAUAGACACCUAGUAGCAGGGCAAAAGGGAUAGAGGGGAAGGAAGAGCCUGGACUGAGCUAACAAGUGUCUUGUUGCGUGGUGUGGUUUCACAUCAAGGAGGUGGUUUUGUAGCAAACCAGCAGUGGAUGUGUGGUGCGUGGGCAGGCUGAACAAGGGAAUCUUCUGCCACUUGCUGCCCCUCUGACGCAGACAUUCAGCCCAUGGUUUUGGCCCUGCAGGGUGAAAAAGAAGAGAAGCUGGGUGUGGAUUUGAUUAUUUCUCUGUAGGAACUUUACCAGGAAUGCCCAUGCGGUUCUAUCCCUAUGAACAGAGGGAAUUGGGCAGCAAGACACUGUGCCUUUGCUCUUUCUAGAUAUGAUACUCAGAGCAUCUUUUUAUUUUCAAGUGCAGUGCCACCAGGCUUGCAUGGGUGGGUCCUGGGCCAGGACAGGAGGUGUGGUGGCAGCCCUGCAGGACUGACCAGGGAAGCACUGCUGCUUUACUACAGUCCACCAGCUGAUGCAUUUUAUUCCUGACUCACCUUUACCAGCAGAUCUUCUAGAUGGUCAGGCUGUGGUAAGAGUGGCUGUGCUUGAACAUCAUUGGGACCAGUUAAUACUUCCCAGCCUGUGAUUUCCUGGGUACUGAAGGGACUCAGUGCCUGGUGACCUGAGAAAAAUUCAGGCAGGCAAAGAUGAACGCUGGCAGAUGGCUUCAGAAAGCCAGGUGCCAUUCUCCCUAAUAAUUCCUGCUAGGAAACAAAAGCAGGGAGGUCCCUUCUGGUUUUGUCCCCCUUGGAUGAUGAAACAGUCCCAUUAGAGGGUGCUCAGCUGCUCUGCAGUCACUCCCGUGUUCCUGCUGCAUCCGUGCUGCCUGUAGGAAGAGCUGCUGGUCCAGGACUGGGCUCUCGGUGCUUGCACUGCGAGUUCAAAUUCAGCUUGUUCCUCAUCACAAGGAUGGAUCCCCCUGUAGCAUGAGUAUUUAUUUCACAAUUCCCAAAGCAGUGAGAUUUUUCACAGAUGUGCUUACCCUGGGAAAAUUCUCCAAUCAAUUUAUAGCAGGUACUUCUUAAAUUCUUUAAGAAAAGAGCCACUCCCUUAGUUUUUUUUUCAGGUCAACAGAAACAACUGAUGCAUGUAAGCCUAUCUCAUGGUGCUGUGUGUUCAUAAAGCAAAAUUUUUGCCCCCAAAUAACUAUUUCUACUUUGUAUUAAUUUGACUGUACCUUGUACUUAUGUAGUUACUUAUACCGUAGUAAGAGAAGGGCUUUGACCCUCAAAGCUAUAAGGCUUCAGCCGCUUGUUCCAACCUACGGUGGACCAUCCCUAACCAACACUUGUCCAGCCUGCUUUUUAAGCGCUCUGGUGCUGCGGGUUCCACAUCUGUUUCUUUCCUUAUUGAGUUUUCCCCUUCACAACCUCUGUCAGAGAAGCCUGUUCUUAAAUUGGCUGUUUGCCCUUGAUGUACACCGGAAUGCUUCCCAGAUAAAAAAAAUAAAUAAAAAUCUGAGCUUGUCUGCCAGAAGAUCCCUCCUGCAGUUUCUCUGCUAAAUCCAAUUACCAGGGGUAGAAGCCUGGUAAGGCAGCAGCUCUUUGCAGAGUGAUCUCUGCUGCUGGCACGAGCCACCUGAGCACCCUGCUCUGCUUCCAGGUGAAGCAGGCAGGUGGAAGAGGUGAGGCCUGUCUCUUCAGCCCUUCUGACUUCCAGGGCUUGAGGCAAAGCUCUACAGGAUGAGGAGGGAGCCUGGUGCGCCUGUGUUUGCCCUGGGACACGCUAUGUUGUCACUUGUCACCUCCUUCCCACAGGUGUCAGCUGCCCCAGAUGUUCCUCUGAGCAUGCUGACACUCACCUGGUGCUCGUGUCCCUACAGCCCGAGGUGUGCAGAUAACCUCGGUGGGGCUGCCUGCCUCGGGAGGAAGGAGGCUGCUUUUCCUUUCCUUAGCUUAGAGCUUAAAAUUGGGUGAAAUGAAACCUUCACGGCUGCCUGCAGGUGGGAGGACACUGCUGAGGCUGGUGAGCCCUUGGUGGGCUGGGACCGUGAGGGUGAGAGCCAGACUUGAGGAGACUUCAGCCCCUAAACAGUCCUAUGUGCCUCUUCCUUCCCAAAGUGUGCUUAAUGAAAUACUGUUUCAGCAGCGCCCAGCUGGGACAAAUAAAUAUAUUUUUAACCAUCCUGAACCAGCAGUGCUGCGGUUCUCCCUCACUCCCCUCCCUGAAAGCCCCAGGGAAGCAAAUCUGCGCUCAUUCCCCUCGGAGAAGUCUCCUCAGAGACAAAAAAUGAGGUAAAAGAGGCGGGAGGGC